rnacentral:tRNA from 1 species
UGGGGUAUAGCUCUGUGGUAGAGUGCCUGCCUCGCAUGCACAAGGUCCUGGGUUCAACCCCCAGCACCUCCA